CGCGGCUCUGUGCGGAGCAGAUCCUCCAGCUGCUAUAUGCCAGAACCUAGUCUUCAAAGCUGCCCGUUAGUCUCCCUUAGUAAAUUACACACCACACCGAUUCUUUAGUUUUUUUUUUUUUUUUUUUUCCUUCCUGCAUGUGGAUUUUAAGCUUUUGUGAGGGACAGAAUGAAAUGGUAAUGAACUCUGGCUCUGGGAGCGACAGACCUGGAACAGAAUUGACGACCUUCCCUCCCAUCUGCCAAUCUUUGUUGCUUAUAUACAUCUCCUGUCCAGCACUUGGCGCCACCUAUCCUCUGCCUAUUCUUUGGCUACCUGAUUUUCAGGAUGUUUCCCCUGAGCUACCUAAGAAAGGAAAAUUAUUGACACCUCAAGUCUUCCUUUUGAUGGGAAACUUCUCCCAGUAUCUGGAGCCCUCGAUACCCUGCACGUGGAAGAGGAUGCAGCAGGAACUGGUUAAGCACCAAGUUUGAGUUUGGAUAGAACAGCACUCCCACGAAAGGAGCAAUGAUGGAUCUGUAUCCUAAGCCUGAGCAGGACCUGGGAAACGCUGCUGCUGGCUCCUCAGCAUUGUUGUUUAUGUCAGCAUCAUCUCCUCCAGGAACACUGGCCAGCAAGCUGUGCUGCUGUUUGCUGCCGCCACUGGAGCCCCUCCAGCUGCUGGCCGCUUCACUCCUGGGACCUUUACUAAUUAGAUCCAAGCAGCCUUCAGGGAGGUGACGAAUCCAAGGCUGACCACCAGGCCCUGGCAGAGGUGUCUUAUGUCAGCCUGUUUACUAUUGCUCUGUCUAUACAGAUUCUCCUCUACCUUAUGUGGGUGUUGUCAUUGUUAGAUUAUUAAAAGGCAGCUGGAGAGAGACAGAAUGUAGAAAGAAAGGAAGGCUUGCUCUGAUCAUAGGUGAACCAUGUUUAUUCCUGGUGAGGGAGCACUUUUUUUAAAAUUUUUUUUAAGAUUUAUUUAUUAAGCAUAUAAUGUACUGCUGGCAAGGAAGGCACCAGGUCUCAUUAUAGAUGGCUGUGAGCCACCAUGUGGUUGCUAGGAAUUGAACUCAGGAACUCUGGAAGAGCAGCUAGUGCUCUUACCCUCUGAGCUAUCUCUCCAGCCCGAGGGAGCACUUUGUUAUUCAUAUGUGUGGAUGGGCAAAAGGCCUACAGAGGAAGCUGGGAUGCAGCCCCUUAUAGGGAUGGAAAUGACUUCCACAGUACAAAAGGGAAGCUGGGAAGUGCAGUCUUUCAGCAGGAAGCUAUUACUCCUAACUCUGAGAGGCUAUAAAAAACACAGGGCAGGGACAUUAUAGCUGUUUCUGCUGAUGGGGGUUUUUGUUAGAGGGGGUAGUCCUGGGUCCAUUGAAGGGGGGGGUCUUAACUUGAUCGGCUUUGAUGGAUCAGGUGAUUGCCAUCUUAUAUUCCUGGGAGAUCUGGAAAAUAAUUAUUAGAGGGCUGUAAGCAGCUGGUUUGGUUUCAGAGAAAAACCAAGAGAUUUCCCAGAAGGUUAAGGGAUGGGGAGGAACAGAGGCGAUAGGAUAUUGACACAGAGUUGAUUCAGGGUGACAGUGACUAGUCCAUUGCCUGGCCUGUCGGACCAAAACGAGCUAGCCGAAGUUAACGGGAGCUACAGAGCGUGAAAGGAAGGAGACAGGAGACAGUAGAGGACUAAUAGAAAGACUGUAUCCGGCUCAGGGGGAGAGGAAUGAAGUCCCUUUAGCCCGUUUCUCCACAGCCUCGAAAAGGCCUUUCUGCAGAUGUAUUGAGAAGACAUGGAGCUUUUGUAGGUGAGAGCAUUGGGAGAGCUUAGAAGUUCUAUAAGUGAAACAUUUUUAAAUGGGGCAUAAACGAAUAAGGAGAAUGAGGAGGAAGGAGGGCAGUGCUGCGGCCGUCAUGGGGUCCAGCUGGUUCUGAAGGAUGUCAGGCUCAUCUGAGCCCGUGAGCAGAGAGCUGCGUUGAUGCAAAGGAGGCUCCAGUCCAGCUGUUUCAGUUCUGCGUCCCUGAAACGAUGUUCAGAAUGGCAAGAAGACGGAUGAGUUAGGUGGCCCCUGACCAUUAGCCCCGUCAGAGGCCACCGAAUGCUUUUAGGGGCUUAGGGACGUUGGCCUCUCGGUGACUGUUUUGAGGCUGACAGAGGGUAAUGAGGGGACCAGCAGUUGGAGUGCCUCAGAGGAGGGGCCGUCCUAGGGGCCGUGAUAAAACCGAAUAGUUGUCAAAGAUCCAGGACAGAAGCCAGGAGGGAAUGACUACAGCUUAGUGUGGACAGUUAAGAGACGAAGAGGAAAACUCACACGGAGAACACUCACAGGAGCACAGUGUAACUGGACACCUGGCAGGACCGUGUUCUACAGAAGGGUAAGGUGGCUGUAGUUAGCUGUUCGUUACGUCAGACUCCUGCAUGCAGAACGAGCUCCUGAAACAUGUAAAGAAGUCAGCUAACGUCAGCGUCUAAGGACAAACCUGACAGAAUGUGGCUCAGUCCUGCUCCUUGCUUUCACAUCUGAUAAACUUUAUGUACUUGUUUCAAAUAUUAACAACACCAGCUAUUAUUUCAUGAGCAAAAACAGAGUAUCCCAAGGAAAACUAGAUUUCUAGUUAGAAACAAUUUGUUGAGAUAAAAUUUUUUUAAAUUGGGAUUAUUUCCUUUAAGUGACCAUAUCUAGCAUUUAAAAACAUAACAAUAUAUAUUUUUGCUAAAAUCAAAUUAUAAUACCUAUAUUCCAAGAUUAUAUGUAAGUAUAUUUUAUAUUGUCAGACUGUGUAAAGAGACAAUUUAUUUCUAGGUUGUAUUUCCCAGAAAGAAAUUAUUUCCUCUGGGCAGUGGUGGCGCAUGCCUUUAAUCCCAGCACUGGGAGGCAGAGACAGGCAGAUCUCUGCGAGUUCGAGGCCAGCCUAGUCUACAAGAACUAGUUUUAGGACAGGCUCCAAAGCUACACAGAAACCUUGUCUCUAAAAACAAAACAAAACAAAACAAAACAAAAAAAACAAAAAAGAAAAGAAAUUAUUUCCAAUUUAAAAAGUAUACUCCCAGAAAUAGCUACUGCCUUGAUUUCUUGCAUGUCUCUGGAACACUCUAGAACAUCCCGAGUUACUACCUGAGUGACUGCCUUGAUUUCUCCUCCAUAGACAUGUCUCUAGAACACUCUAGAACAUCCCGAGUUACUAUCUGAGUUAGUGACUGCCAUGCCAAGAGUAAACAACUCGCUUUAGAAAGUUUCCUAAAAUUAUUUAACAGAACCUCUUAAAAUCUUAAAAAAUCUCUGUAUUUUCAUUCCACACACUCAACCAACAGAUGAAAUCUGAAAGCAGUCAGUAUGUCAAGUCUGUAAUAAACAAUUUACAAGUAACAUAGGCGAAAUUAACAAACCCUAACCCUAACCCCAACCCUAAAAUUAAAAAGGCUUAUAUUGACUCUUUACCCUCUUUUGUCUAUGGGCAGAUUUCUAGGUCCCCACAUGCUGAAGACAGAGAGCAGAUUUCCUAGUCACAGUCUAUUUAAAAACAGACGCAUUGUUUAAAUGCAUAUUUUUUCAUAUAUAUAUAUAUAUAUAUUUAGUUUUGCUUUUUGUUUUGUUUCUGACAUGAUUUCUUUGUGUAGCCCUAGCUGUCCUGGAACCCAUUCUACAUGAAGCUGACCCAGAGAUCUGCCUGCCUCUGCCUCCCAUGUGUGCCACUUCCACCAUUUAGCUCAUCCCUCUGUUUUUUGAAGUAGCAAACAGAACCUCUUAAAAUCUUUUUUAUUUUUAAUUUUAUUUUAUUGAUACUUACUGAACUCUACAUUUUUCUCUGCUCCCCUCCUUGCCUCUCCCCUCCCCACUUCAACCCUCUCCCAAGGUCCCCAUGCUCCCAAUUUACUCAGGAGAUCUUGUCUUUUUAUACUCCCCAUGUACAUUAUAUCUAUGUAAGUCUCUCUUAGUGUCCUCAUUGUUGUCUAGGUUCUCUGGGAUUGUGGUUUGUAAGCUGGCUUUCUUUGCUUUAUGUUUAAAAACCACCUAUGAGUGAGUACAUGUGAUAAUUGUCUUUCUGUGUCUGGGUUACCUCACUCAAAAUAAUGUUUUCUAGAUCCAUCCAUUUGCCUGCUAAAUUCAAGCUGUCAUUUUUUUUUUUUUUGCUGUGUAGUACUCCAUUGUGUAAAUGUACUACAUUUUCCUUAUCCAUUCCUUGGUCGAGGGGCAUUUAGGUUGUUUCCAGGUUCUGGCUAUGACAAACAAAGCUGUUAUGAACAUAGUUGAGCACAUGUCCUUGUGGCACCUUUGAGCAUCCUUUGGAUAUAUAUCCAAAAGUGGUGUUACUGGGUCUUGAGGAAGGUUGUUUUUUAAUUUUCUGAGAAAUCACCACACUGACAUCCAAAGGGGUUGUUCCAGCUUGCAUUCCCACCAGCAAUGCAGAAGUGUUCCCUUUUCCCCACAACGUCUCCAGCAUAAGUUGUCAUUGGUGUUUUUGAUCUUGGCCAUUCUUACAGGUGUAAGAUGGAAUCUCAGAGUUGUUUUGAUUUGCAUUUCUCUGAUGACUAAGGAUGUUGAACAUUUCCUUAAGUGUCUUUCAGCCAUUUUAGAUUCCUCUGUUGAGAGUUCUCUGUUUAGGUCUGUACUCCAUUUUGUUUUUUAAAUUGGAUUAUGUGUUCUUUUGAAAGGUGUCCAAUUUCUUGAGUUCUUUGUAUAUUUUGGAAAUCAGACCCUGUCUGAUGUGGGGUUAGUAGUGAAGAUCUUUUCCCAUUCUGUAGGCUGUUGUUUUGUCUUGUUGACCGUGUCCUUGCUUUACAGAAGCUUUUCAGUUUCCGGAGGUCCCAUUUUUAAUUGUUUCUCUCAGUGUCUGUGCUGAUGGGGUUCUAUUUAAGAAGUGGUCUCAUGUGCCAAUGUGUUCAAGUGUAUUUCCCACUUUCUCUUCUGUAAGGUUCAGUAUGACUGGCUUUAUGUUGAGGUCUUUGAUCCAUUUGGACUUGAGUUUUGUGAAUGGUGAUAGAUAUGGGUCUAUUUUCGUUUUUCUAGAUGUUGAAAUCCAGUUAUGCCAGCACCACUUGUUAAAUAUGCUUUCUCUUUUCCAUUUGAUAUUUUUUGCUUCUUUGUCAAAAAUCAGGUGUUCGAAGAUGUGUGGAUUGAUAUCCGGGUCUCUAUUCGGUUCCACUGGUCCUCCUGUUAGUUCUCUUAUUUCUCUGUUCAUUUUUCAUCUGAUUGACCUGUCCAGUUGUGAGAGGGGAGUUUUGAAGUCUCCUACUAUUAGUGUGUGGGGUUUAAUAUAUGAUUUAAGCUUUAUAAGUGUUUCUUUGACAUAUGAGGGUAGUACCCUUGUAUUUGGGGCAUAGAUGUUCAGUAUUGAAAUUUCCUUUUGAUGGAUUUUUCCUGUAACUAAUAUGAAAUGUCCUUCUUUGUCUCUUUUGACUGAUUUUAGCUUGAAGUCUAUUUUGUUAGAUAUUAGGAUAGCUACACCUGCUUAUUUCUUAGGUCCAUUUGAUUGGUAUAUUUUUUUCCCAACCUUUUACUCUGAGAUAAUGUCUGUCUUUGAGGUUGAGAUGCGUUUCUUGUAUGGAGCAGAGGGAUGGAUUCUGUUUUCGUAUCCAAUCUGUCAGCCUGUGCCUUUUUAUAGGUGAGUUGAGUCCAGUUACAUUAAGGGAUAUUAAUGACCAGUGGUUGCUAUCUCCUGUUAAUUUAGUUUUCAUCAUUGAUGAUGUUAAUUUGUGCAUUUUUUUUCUUCUUCAGGAUUUGCUGUAAUAAGAUCAUCAAUUGUCUGUGUUUUUGUUGGUGUAGCCAUCUUCCUUGGGUUGGAGUUUUCCUUCUAGUAUUUUGUGUAGGACUGGGUUUGUGGCUAGGUAUUGGUGAAAUCUAGAUUUGUUAUGGAAUAUCUUGUUUUGUCCUUCUAUGGUGAUCGACAGUUUUGCUGGGUAUAGUAGUCUGAGCUGGCAUCCAUGGUCUCUUAAUGUCUGCAUAGUGCUUGACCAUGACCUCUGGCUUUCAUUGUCUCCACUGAGAAGUCAGGUGUAAUUCUGAUAGGCCUAUUUUUAUAUGUUACUUGGCCUUUUUCCUUUGCAGCUCUUAAUAUUCUUUCUUUUCUCUGUAUGUUUAGUGUCUUGAUUAUUAUGUGGUGAGAGGACUUUUUUUUGGGGGGUCCAGUCUAUUUGGUGCUCUGUAAGCUUCUUGUAUCUUCAUAGGCAUAUCUUUCUUUAGGUAGAGAGAGUUUUCUUCUAUAAUUUUGUUAAAUAAAUUUUCUGUGCCUUUGAGUUGAACUUCUUCUUCUAUACCUAAUUAUUCUAAGAUUUGGCCUUUUAAUGGUGUCACAUAUUUCCUGGAUAUUUUGGGUUAAGCUUUUGUUAGAUUUAAUGCUUUCUUUAACUGAUGAGCCUAUUUCCUCUAUUGUAUCUUCAGUGCUUGAGAUUCUCUCUUCCAUUUCUUGUAUUCUGUUGUUCAUGCUUACGUUUGUGGUUCCUGAUCUUUUUCUUUGACUUCUGUUUCUAUAAUUCCUUUGGCUUGUGUUUUCUUUAUUUUUUCUAUAUCAGUUUUCAAGACCUGAAUAGUUUCUUUUAUAUGUUUGAGGUUUUUUUUCUUGGUUUUCUUUAAGUGAUUUGCUGAUAUCUUCCAAUUUUUUGUUUCUUUUUUCCUCCAUUUCUUUAAGGUAAUUUCUCAUUUCAUCUUUAAGAAUUUCAAACAUUCGCUUGAGGUUAUUUUUUAGAUCAUUUUCUUCUGGUUCAUCCAUAUUUGGUUGUUCAGGUCUUGGUUUCGUAGGGUCUUUAGGUUUUACUGGUGUUGUGUUGCUCUUUGUGGUGUAGCAUGUCAUCUUACCUUUUCUAUUCAUCUUUUCCUCUAAUAGGUGUGGUUGGGGCUGUCUGAGAUUCUGUUGAAUAAUCUUCUAGGUGCCAGUCAAUCCAAAGCUCAGAUGGUUGUUCCUCGUGGUACAGUCAGUGUCACAGUUCUAGUUACUCCGUUGGUUAUUCCUGUUCCUGGAGGUAGCUCAGUGUUCCUGUGCUUUGGUUUACUCCUUUGGAGUUUGCUGUCUUAGGCCUACUUUUGCCUAGGCUGCUGGCUUUGAUCUGUUUCUGUAAAUUUUGGUCUGGGAAAAGUCCCUGGCUUGGAGUUGGACCUGUUGUGGUGGAGAUCGCUGACUCUGGAUCUGGGUUCACUGGCUGCUCAGUCCUGAUCUGCCCGUGUCCUGGGACUGGGUUUGGUCCUGGCUUCUUCUCCUGGUAGAGCUUGUUCUCUUUAUGUCUUAGGUCACUGGUUCAGUCCCACUCCAGUUCUGGUGGAGAUUGCAGACUCUGAUUCAGGUCAUUGGCUCAAUCCUGGUCUGCCAGUGUCCCAGGACUGGGUUGGCUGCUAGGGCCGGAUUUGCUCCUGGCUUUUCUGCUCCCAGUGGAGCUUGUUUCCCCUGGCCCUCUCUGUCCUAGGAGUCUCUUUCUGUUCCACUCCUGUGGAAUUUGUUGCCCAAGGUGGAGUUCCUUGCCUCUGGGAAACUUUGGCUUAGGUUACCGGCUUUAACCUGUAUCUGUAAAUUUUGGCCUGGAUUCCCACCUGCAGAAGUCCCUGGGUUGGAGUUGGACCUGGAAAGGUUUUUAGUUCUGGUCUACUGCCUUGGAGAUCCCAGGCUCAGGUGUGCCCGAAUCUGCAGAGGACCUGCUUACUUCCUCAGAGGUCUCAGACUCGGGCUUGGACCUGCAAGAGUUCCAGGUUCCUGCCUAUUCCCUUUGAUGUCUCAGACCAAUGCCUGAACUCACAGAGGACCCGGCUCAGGCCUACUCUCUCUGAGGUUCCAGACUUGUGCCUGGCUUCGCUGAGAUCUCUGGUUCCUGCCUAUUCCCUUGGAGGACCCAGAUUCACUCACAGUCCCGGAUUCACAUCCAGACCCUCAGCAGUCUUUGACUCUGGCCCAUCCCUCUUUUUUAAAUAAAUUAGAAAAAACAGGUUGACAACUAGAUUGUACAUUACAAAACCUUGUGAGCCUAAUAGCCUGAGUUCGAUCCCUGGAAGCCACGUGAAGGUAGAAGGAAAGAACCAGCUUUUAAAAGGUGUCCUCUGACCUCCACACUUAAUGUGACACAUGCUUGUGUACAUGAACACACACAUCUUCAUCAUCAUAAAUAAAAAACAUUAAAAAAUAUUCAUUUUUGCCAUAGUAGUGUCUUACUGACCUAAUACCAUUAAAAAUACUGUCACAGUUGGAGGUAGGAUGAUCAGACUCUUCCUUCACUACACUUUAGCCAGUCUAGUUUCUGGAAUCUCUAUUUGGCUACAUUGAUCUCAAUUUUGUCAUUUUCUUGUCUAUUUAUUGAGGCAGAGUUUCACUCGAGUCCAUGCUGCCUUGGACCUUGCUACGUAGAUCGGGCUGUAGCUGGAAGCUUUUAACUCUUAAUACUUCUCCCCCCCUUUCCUAUAUCUUACUUCCUUAUGGGAGGGGUACACAUUCUUGUUAUUUAGGCCACACUAUCCUUAAAUUCAUUAGCUAGCCCAUGCUAGUCUCAAAUCUGUGGUAAUUCUACUGUCCUCUAGGAUUAGAAGAUACCAUGUCUGAUUUAAGUCAAACUCGAUUUCUAAGCUGUCUCUUCCUACCCUAAACAUAGCAUUUUCUACCCUACUAGUGAAUCUUCUAUACUCCUCUCUUAAUUGGGUAUGUGGGGAUGUUUGGUGUAUUGUAGAGUUGUAGUGUGGAAUCAAGAUUUUUUUUUUCCUACAGGCUGUAAAAUGGUAGCUCCAAUCCAAGAAUGCUUCUUUUCAAGAGUCAGAGCUUCUAGGACUGUUGGCAAAGGAACUCAUAUACAGGGGAACUGUUUUUUCUUCUUUCUUUCUUUUUACUUUUCCUUCCUUCCUUCCUUCCUUCCUUCCUUCCUUCCUUCCUUCCUUCCUUCCUUCCUUCCUUCCUUCCUCCCUUCCUCCCUUCCUCCCUUCCUCCCUUCCUCCCUUCCUCCCUUCCUCCCUUCCUCCCUUCCUUCCUUUUUAGAUAAAGUCUUACUAUAUAGGCCUGACUAGCCAAUCGUGUGUCACCACAUCUGGGUGACUGUUUUCAAUUGUCGCAGCCAACCCAGGACUCACUGCGCAUCAGUGACGCUACACACACACACACACACACACACACACACACACACACACACACACACGAGAGGAAAGAGAGGUUGACGGAUCUCUUUACACUGACUACACUCCCAUUGCCCUGUGGAGGCAUUUCUUCUUCCUUCCACAUUUUGUCCUAUACUCAGCCUCUUAAUUCUGGAGAUAAUCUAAAGAUUUAAAAUUGUUUUUGAAUUCUGUGUAUGUGUUUAUAUCCGUGUGUGGGUAUGUGUACAUGAGCACAGGUGCUUGAGAGGCCAGAGAAGGACGUCGGAUCCCCAGGCACUGGAGGUACAGGUAGUUAUGAACCACCUGGUGUGGAUUUGGGGAAACAAACCCAGGUCCCUCGCAAGAGCAGAAUGCUGUCUUAACCCUUCCCUUGAUCUGGAGGUAAUCUAAAUCCCCAGUAAACCUUCCCAAGGAAGAUGUUUGGGGACACGCCCGUGGCAAGCAAACCCGGACGUGUUCUUUUGCCAAUGAAAACUUCACUUUAUGACAGAACUGAUCUGGUCAGAUUGCUGCCUAACAGCAGAACACAGGCUCAGGCCUGAGUAGAGGUAGGAGAUGGGUAGCCAGGGGCCGGUCAGCUGUGGCCUCAGGGAAGGAAGUUCUGGUCCCAGCUAUGGAUGGAUGAGCCAGUCUGGCCUUCCUCCCACCUCACCCAAGAAGAGGGGUCAGAGCCGAUAGUCACACAACUCUGACCCUGGAAAUAGAAGGCACAGGGAAAGGGCGGGAGGACAGAAGCUGAUCUGGUACUGAUACCCUGGUGGGAGCGGGCUGGGAGAGAAGGCCGGGGAAGGACUGCCAGCAGUGACAGUCAUGUUUGCUUUCUCCUAAUUAAUGUGGUUUCCUUACAACCCCCCUGUUGAUUCCCAGCUGGUCGACUCAACCAUAACAACACGUGGCCUGCCCUGCCCAGGCCAGGAACUGAGAAGGCGCCUCCCAAGGAGGGUCUGGUUUCAUCUACAGUCGGGCUGCCCUUCCGUUCACUGGUUUAGUGCAGGGGAGGGAAGGGACAGCAUCUCAAGCUGUGGAGACAGCUGGGCUGGGGGAACAGCCAGGACCUGGCUGCCCUGGGCUUGCCUGGCUGAAUAUUCCCACGGCCUUUCCUAGAGGGGAGUGGUCUCCCGAUGGAGCUGCAGCCUCUCAGGCAAGUGUGAGCGGGGAGACCUCAGGCAAAAAGCCCUUCCUCAGUGGGACUCACACAGCAGCAAUGACGUGAAGGGACAUUUAUGAAAGGAGGGAGACAAUGAACCUCUCUUUGUCCUGAAAAAACGUACAGGUGUGUUUGGCCCAAGGCCCUCCAGGGAUCUGGAAACAGCUAGGCUGUGUCUAGAGUUUUGGUUACAUUACCACUGUCCUCCGAGUCUUUGUAUUGCUUCCUUCUUUGGGAGACUCUUCCUCUUCUCCUGUCAUUGUUCCACCCACUCUCACAGCUGCUUCAGUGGGCAGCCAUCAUGCAGGUACAAUGCGCUUCCGUAAACAAACGCAUAUAUAGCCCAGGGAACAUUCUUCAAGGGGGAAAGGUUUGUUGUACAAAACCUGAUUUUUGUCGUGAAAACUUGAUUGCCCUGGAGUUGGCACU